rnacentral:rRNA from 1 species
GAUCAACAUGGACGGGGCCCCCCGUCCCCGUCGCGGCUGUCGACCGGGCCGGACUGUCCUCAGUCCGUGCCUGACCGCGCCGCGGCCAGGGCGGGGACGGCCCUGGGCGCUCGGGGUCUGCGAGCGGUUGCCCA